rnacentral:rRNA from 1 species
AGAGUUUGAUCAUGGCUCAGAUUGAACGCUGGCGGCAUGCCUAACACAUGCAAGUCGAACGGCAGCACAGUAUGUAGCAAUACAUACGGGUGGCGAGUGGCGGACGGGUGCGUAAUGUGCAGGGAUCUGCCCUGAAGUGGGGGACAACCCGGGGAAACUCGGGCUAAUACCGCAUAAUACUCUCUGGAGGAAAUCUGGCU